rnacentral:rRNA from 1 species
UGCGCCUACGGGACGCAGCAGUGAGGAAUAUUGGUCAAUGGGCUUACGCCUGAACCAUCCAAGUCGCGUGAGGGAAGACUGCCCUAUGGGUUGUAAACCUCUUUUGUAAGGGGGCAAUUGGCGCUACGUGUAGCGUUAUCGAGAGUACCUGGAGAAAAGGCAUCGGCUAACUACGUGCCAGCAGCCGCGGUAAUACGGAGGAUGCGAGAGUUAUCCGGAUUGAUUGGGUUUAAAGGGGGCGUAGGCGGAAUGCCAAGUCAGCGGAAAAAU